rnacentral:rRNA from 1 species
AUUGAACGCUGGCGGCAGGCCUAACACAUGCAAGUCGAGCGAGCGGCGGACGGGUGAGUGAUGUAUGGGGACUGCCCGAUAGAGGGGGGUAACUACUGGAAACGGUGGCUACUACCGCAUACUGUCGGAUAUCCCCUAUGGGAUUAGCUAGUAGGUAAGGUAAUGGCUUACCUAGGCGACGAUCCCUAGCUGGUCUGAGAGGAUGAUCAGCCAAACUGGGACUGAGACACGGCCCAGACUCCGACGGGGGCAGCAUUGGGGAAUAUUGCACAAUGGGCGAAAGCCUGAUGCAGCCAGGCCGCGUGUAGGAAGAAGGCCCUAGGGUUGUAAAGUACUUUCAGUCGGGAGGCGUUACCGAAAGAAGAAGCACCGGCUAACUCCGUGCCAGCAGCCGCGGUAAUAC